rnacentral:rRNA from 1 species
UACGUAGGGCGCAAGCGUUGUCCGGAAUUAUUGGGCGUAAAGAGCUCGUAGGCGGCUUGUCACGUCGGGUGUGAAAGCCCGGGGCUUAACCCCGGGUCUGCAUUCGAUACGGGCUAGCUAGAGUGUGGUAGGGGAGAUCGGAAUUCCUGGUGUAGCGGUGAAAUGCGCAGAUAUCGAGAGGAACACCUGCGGCGAAGGCGGGUUGCUGGGCCGACACUGACGCUGAUGCGCGAAAGCCAGGGGAGCGAACGGG